AGGGCGCGCGGUGGAUGUCUUGGCGUCCAGAGGCGAUGAAAGACGUUGGAACCUGCGAUAAGCCCAAGGGAGCCGGUAACCAGGCUGUGAUCUUGGGAUUUCUGAAUGGGGAAACCCACCCGCAAGGGUACGUUCACCUGAAUGCAUAGGGUGAACGAGCGAACGUGGAGAACUGAAACAUCUUAGUAUCCACAGGAAAAGGAAGCAACAGCGAUUCCGUCAGUAGCGGCGAGCGAACGCGGAGCACUCAACAGAACAGAAGAACCGGCUGGAAUGCCGGGCCUUAGAAGGUGAAAGCCCUGUAUCUGGAAGUUGAGGUGCCUUCAAGUAAAAUCGGGCUCGUGAAACCCGGUUUGAACAUGGGGGGUCCAUCCUCCAAGGCUAAAUACUCCUGGACGACCGAUAGCAAAUCAGUAAGGCGACUGAAAGAUUAAAAGCACCCCGACGAGGGGAGUGAAAGAGUACCUGAAACCGCGCGCUUACAAGCGGUGGGAGUCCUUCGGGAUGACCGCGUGCUUUUUGCAUAAUGAGCCGGCGAGUUGGUCUGUACGGCGAGCCUAAGUCCUAACGGGACGGAGGCGGAGCGAAAGCGAGUCUGAAUAGGGCGUUGAGUCGUACGGGCCAGACGCGAAACCUUGUGAUCAACGCUUGAGCAGAUUGAAGUGCGGGUAAAACCGCAUGGAGGAUCGAACGCGUGACCGUUGAAAAGGUCUGCGAUGACUUGAGCGGAGGAUUAAAAGUAUAAUCAAACUGGGAGAUAGCUCGUUCUCUCCGAAAUAACUUUAGGGUUAGCCUCGACGGGCAAGCGAUGGGGGUAGAGCUACUGGAUGAACUUUGGGGUCUACCCGACUACCGGGUUCAACCAAACUCCGAAUACCAUCGCCCAAGCGUCGGGAGAUAGACGGCGAGCGACAAUGUCCGUCGUCAAGAGGAGAACAAUCCUGAUCGCCAGCUAAGGCCCCGAAUCUAUGCUCAGUUCGAAAGGAAGUCAGAUUGCAAAGACAGCCAGGAUGUUGGCUUAGAAGCAGCCACCAUUUAAAGAGUGCGUAAUAGCUCACUGGUCGAGGAAUCUGGCGCCGAUAAUGAUCGGGAAUAAGCAUAGAGCCGAAGCUGCGGGCUCACCUCACGGUGAGCGGUAGGAGAGCGUACUUGACAGCAGCGAAGCGGGAGGGCAACCGACCGUGGAGCGUCAAGUAGUGCAUAUGCCGGCUUAAGUAACGAUUAACACGGUGAAAAUCCGUGUCGCCAUAAGUGCAAGGGUUCCUGGGGAAGGUAAAUCCGCCCAGGGUUAGCCGGGUCCUAAGGCGAGGCCGAAAGGCGUAGUCGAUGGAAAACUGGUCAAUAUUCCAGUGCCAAUACCCACCAAAGAGACGGAGCUCCGGACUCUGCGGGACUGUCAGAUGUCCAGGCCCUUGAGGCCGAUGCAGGGAAAGGGGCUUCCUAGAAAAUCUGGGUGAGCCCGUACCAAAACUGACACAGGUGCACGAGGCGAAUAGCCUAAGGCGCUCGAGAGAACGGUCGUGAAGGAACUAGGCAAUUUAACUCCGUAAGUUCGCGAUAAGGAGGGCCUACUCUCGCAAGAGAGAGGCCGCAGAGAAAAGGAUCUGGGAACUGUUUAUCAAAAACACAGCUCUGUGCUAACUCGCAAGAGGAUGUAUACAGAGUGACGCUUGCUCAAUGCCGGAAUGUCACGGGAGCGGGUCAUCGAAAGAGAAGCUCGCGACUCAAGCACCGGUGAAUAGCGGCCGUAACUAUGACGGUCCUAAGGUAGCGAAGUUCCUUGUCGGGUAAGUUCCGACGCGCAUGAAUAGCGUAAUCACUGGAUCCCUGUCUCCACGACCGACUCGGUGAAAUAGUAGUGGCGGUGAAGAUGCCGUCUACCCGCAGCAAGACGGAAAGACCCCGUGGACCUUUACUAUAGGUUUCUACUGGACACGAGCAUAAACUGCGUAGCAUAGGUGGGACCCUUUGAAGUGCCUGUUUCGGCGGGCAUGGAGGGAACAAGUGAAAUACCACCCUGUUUGCGUUUGUGUCCUAACGCUGAUUCCCAUGAAACUGGGCAGCGGACAAUGGGAGCUGGGUAGUUUGACUGGGGCGGUCUCCUCCCAAAGUGUAACGGAGGAGUGCAAAGGUCGGCUCAUCACGGAUGGAAACCGUGUGAAGAGUGCAAGCGCACAAGCCGGCUUUACUGUGAGACCGACGGGUCGAACAGUUGCGAAAGCAGGCGCUAGUGAUCCUGCGGUCCCGUAUGGAAGGGCCGUAGCUCAUCGGAUAAAAGGUACCCCGGGGAUAACAGGCUGAUCGCGCCCGAGCGUCCAUAGCGGCGGCGCGGUUUGGCACCUCGAUGUCGGCUCAUCACAUCCUGGGGCUGAAGGCGGUCCCAAGGGUUCGGCUGUUCGCCGAUUAAAGUGGUACGCGAGCUGGGUUCAGACCGGCGUGAGCCAGGUCGGUCCCUAUCUGCUGUGGGCGUUCCAAGCUUGAGAGGAGUCAACUUUAGUACGAGAGGAUUGGGUUGGACGAACCCCUGGUGAUCCAAUUGGACUGCUAAGUCCACAGUUGGGUAGCUACGUUCGGCAGGGAUAAAAGCUGAAAGCAUCUAAGCUUGAAGCCCCCCUCGAGAUGAGGCUUGGUUGUCGCAAGACGAAAGACCCCUGGAAGACCACCAGGUUGAUCGGCCGCAGGUGUAAGGACAGUAAUGUCUUCAGCCGAGCGGUACGAACGGUCGAAGGCUUGACC
rnacentral:rRNA from 1 species